rnacentral:rRNA from 1 species
AGUAAACGGCGGCCGUAACAAUAACGGUCCUAAGGUAGCGAAAUUCCUUGUCGGGUAAGUUCCGACCCGCACGAAAGGCGUAACGAUUUGGGCACUGUCUCAACGAGAGACUCGGUGAAAUCAUAGUACCUGUGAAGAUGCAGGUUACCCGCGACAGGACGGAAAGACCCCGUGGAGCUUUACUGUAGUCUGAUAUUGAAAUUCGGUACAGCUUGUACAGGAUAGGUAGGAGCCUUUGAAACGUGAGCGCUAGCUUACGUGGAGGCGCUGGUGGGAUACUACCCUCGCUGUAUUGGAUUUCUAACCCGCACCAUUAAUCAUGGUGGGAGACAGUGUCAGAUGGACAGUUUGACUGGGGCGGUCGCCUCCUAAAAGGUAACGGAGGCGCCCAAAGGUUCCCUCAGCCUGGUUGGCAAUCAGGUGUUGAGUGUAAGUGCACAAGGGAGCUUGACUGUGAGACUGGCAGGUCGAGCAGGGACGAAAGUCG